UGGGGAAUAUUGGGCAAUGGGGGAAACCCUGACCCAGCAACGCCGCGUGAGGGAGGAAGGCCUUCGGGUUGUAAACCUCUGUCCUUGGGGACGAAGAAAGUGACGGUACCCAAGGAGGAAGCUCCGGCUAACUACGUGCCAGCAGCCGCGGUAAUACGUAGGGAGCAAGCGUUGUCCGGAAUUACUGGGCGUAAAGGGUGCGUAGGCGGCGCAUUAAGUCAGAUGUGAAAUACCCGGGCUCAACUCGGGGGGUGCAUCUGAUACUGGUGUGCUUGAGUGCAGGAGAGGAAAGCGGAAUUCCUAGUGUAGCGGUGAAAUGCGUAGAUAUUAGGAGGAACAUCAGUGGCGAAGGCGGCUUUCUGGACUGUAACUGACGCUGAGGCACGAAAGCGUGGGGAGCAAACAGG
rnacentral:rRNA from 2 species